AUACGUAGGGGGCAAGCGUUAUCCGGAUUUACUGGGUGUAAAGGGAGCGCAGACGGAACUGCAAGUCUGAUGUGAAAGCCCGGGGCUCAACCGCGGGACUGCAUCGGAUACUGUGGAUCUGGAGUGCCGGAGGGGCAAGCGGAAUUCCUGGUGUAGCGGUGAAAUGCGUAGAUAUCAGGAGGAACACCGGCGGCGAAGGCGGCUUGCUGGACGGCAACUGACGUUGAGGCUCGAAAGCGUGGGGAGCAAACAGGAUUAGAUACCCUGGUAGUCCACGCUGUAAACGAUGAAUACUAGGUGUGGGCAUGCAAGGCAUGUCCGUGCCGCAGCUAACGCAUUAAGUAUUCCACCUGGGGAGUACGUUCGCAAGAAUGAAACUCAAAGGAAUUGACGGGG
rnacentral:rRNA from 1 species